GUUUUAAUAGUUUAAAAUAAAACAUCGGUCUUGUAAACCGAAACUAAGCCUCUCUUUUAAAACU
rnacentral:tRNA from 1 species